rnacentral:rRNA from 1 species
AACGAACGCUGGCGGCAUGCCUAACACAUGCAAGUCGAACGAGACCUUCGGGUCUAGUGGCGCACGGGUGCGUAACGCGUGGGAACCUGCCUUUAGGUUCGGAAUAACUCAGAGAAAUUUGAGCUAAUACCGGAUAAUGUCUUCGGACCAAAGAUUUAUCGCCUUUAGAUGGGCCCGCGUUGGAUUAGCUAGUUGGUGGGGUAAAGGCCUACCAAGGCGACGAUCCAUAGCUGGUCUGAGAGGAUGAUCAGCCACACUGGGACUGAGACACGGCCCAGACUCCUACGGGAGGCAGCAGUGGGGAAUAUUGGACAAUGGGGCGAAAGCCUGAUCCAGCAAUGCCGCGUGAGUGAUGUAGGCCUUAGGGUUGUAAAGCUCUUUUACCCGAGAUGAUAAUGACAGUAUCGGGAGAAUAAGCUCCGGCUAACUCCGUGCCAGCAGCCGCGGUAAU